rnacentral:lncRNA from 1 species
AUGAAGUUUAUAAACUUUACAUUUUUGCUAGCUACUAAAAAAAGUAAAAACUGAUGAAUACACCAUGGAGCUCUAAAACCAUAAGAAACCUUGGAUAAGAACAAGCCAUUCAUCCAAUCAGAUGUUACUGAUGGUUCCAGUUUAACUUAUUUUGUAUUUUAAUCUAUAGAACACGAUCCAAGGUUUUUUUCCGACUUUUUAAAACCUCAUAUUAGCAUGUUUACAGUUUUUCUCCCAGCAAAUGGACACAUCAAAGUCUUCGGUAUUAUCUAAACCUAAAUGGAAUUCAUCUCAAGUUAAUCAAAAUUGUACAGUUACCUGUCUACACUCUGUAUCUAUUAAGGACAACGGUACUGUAUCAACAACCAUGCCUGUGAAGGCCACAUCACUUACACUGGCCACUUGCAACGAUACGCACUUCUCUCCGGCUGUUACGGAUAUUGUGAAACGAAAAAUAACACUGGACGUGAACAUUAUUUGUUUACGCUUGUUUGCCUUCACCCUGCUCGGUUUGAAAUAUGAAAUUCCUAUCACGAUUAACAGAACAAAGGACUAAGCCCUGACAUGCGCAAAGCCGAGGGUUAAAUACUAUUGUACAAGCCCCAAGAGAAAGGCAGCAGAACACAGAUUGAUAACGACUAAGCAGGCUCAUGGCUUCACUGCAAUGUAUCCUUUCAGCGCAAGUUUGAAAGAAUGACGGAAACAAAACCCAGCACGACCAGCAACCGUGACCGGCACCAACGCUGGCAAUCGUAUCCGACGAGCGGCUGGUACUUACAGCGAAAGAUUUUAUUUUAUUUUGGCUGUGUGUGUGUGUUUUCCACUCGGCAGCCUCCUGCCUUGGCUGUCCCUCUUCUCAAUGUAACCGAACAGCUUUUUCUAGUCACACCAGCUGUGUGUACACUGAGCUCAACGUCAGAGGAAUGUGUGUAUGAGCGAAUAGCACGGCGUGGCCCGUCUUAAGAAGGCAGUGCAUAAUUUCAUAUCGCCUAUUUCAUAGUACACUUAGCGGAUGGGUGUUAUUUACUAUUAGGUUAAUUUUACUGGAUGUGGCGCUGUAUGUCGGGAGGCCUUUGAUUUAGCUGUGUCAAAUUAUUUAUAUUGCACAUUUUCUUCCCCCGGUCGCGUUCUGGUGCAGUGUUGACGAUUAUGCUGCGAACAGGAUGGUCCUGAAAUCCAUUAACAACCAGGAGUCGUAGUAUUAUUAAAAUGGAAACAACAACAAUUAGUAAGUGGUAACUAUUACGAUUAUUUGAACUUAAAGGGCAUUGCCAGUAGUAUUGUUAUUGUUAAGCUAGUGCAGAAUGCAAUGCUUUUAUUGCACUCUUGCCGUGUAAGCGCUGAGUGUGGUUGUGUCUUUUUUGGGGGGGGGGGGUUGUACAAUUUGCUGAAUACCGAUGUGCAUUGUGGUCAUACCUUGGCUGGGCUAAUUCCUUCCUCCGGUCUCACAGCCCACUUGUUAAGGCAGCGAGGGCUGGUCGGUGUGGUUGGUACAGUAUGUAUGUUUGAUUACUCCCGAUUCGGAACUGACCAGCAAGCCAAGAGCAACGCCUGGCAUCUGGCUUGCGUAAAUAACCCCCUUUCUCAAAAUGCCUGCUUUCUUCAUCACUUCCAACACUAACGCGUUUUCUCUAAACGCUGUCAAAAGCGGCCAAACACAUGAUCGACACAAUACCGUUAUUUAUUGUUACACGUCCUCAUAGUAUCGGUGUUAUUACAUGCCCAGGUUCUUUUUAUCUUUCAAUAUGUAACAGGCUAAGCCACUGUUUCUAAUUGUGUUUGUACAGAUGUAAGACGAUGUGUGAAGGACAAACUCUUGCAGUCGGUAUAGCAUGAGCCAUAUUUGUUUCUCCUUGAAACAAUGAAGGGCGGAAAUCAUUACACUUUGCAUUGUGAAUUAAAAUUUUCAAAAGUGUUAUUCAAAUUAUUAAACCUUUUGGUACAGAACUUCGUGACGUUUGCUGCCAUUUGUUUUGUAGACACCUCCCCACAGCAAGUAGUUCAAUAUUCCCAGAA